AAAGGAUCUGCCUGAAAGGAUGCUUCUCAUUUCAGUCUGUGUAAGCACACAACGUCUGGCAGGUGUCUGUCACGCCUGAGGAUGGGUUUGCCAGGACCCAGAUAUCAUUGAGGGCACCACUGGAGCCCUGAGUGUUGCUCAAGACCACUAAGGAGAAAGAACAGCUAUUUCAACCGGCAGCAUCAGUGCGCUGGCAGAACAUGAAUACAACAGUCACCUUUAAUAUAGAGCAAGCUGGUGUGUCUGACUCCUGGGCACAUAAACACUGCAAACCAUGUUUGGGUACUGGACUCAUAGGUGAAAUUAAAGUCACAUUCCUCACAUAGCUCCUUCCUGGCUAGCUAUGAAUCACGAGUUUAAAAACCAUUUCCUCAUUAUCUUUUCCUUGCAGGAUAACACUAUGAGUUUUGUGAAGCUGUGAUUGUAUCCCAUUUGAUUUCCCUGCCCUCUGCUCUUCUCAUACAGGGCACAAGUGGACUGUGCUCUGAAACACCCUGUUCAGGAAAAGGGGGAAAUGCCUCAAGCUGAUACACUUCAUGUGAUGUUGGCAAACACAGAAGGUGCCAUCUCUCUGCCUCCCCACUGCAUGUGGCCUCGGUACCCAAACUGUGGUCCCCUAUAGCUGUGACCCCAUAGCAAGGACCGCCCCAAUAGCUCUGCCACUUUGUUCAGGAAGAAAAAUCCACAUUGUGCAUGAAAAGGAAACAUGGGAAAACCCCCAGCUCCACUUAGUGGGCAAAGCAUAAACAACAUAUUUCAGCUGCAGCAACAGCUGAAGGGUGUGUUUACAAUGCUCAGCGGAGCCUCGUGUAGGGAAGGUUUGCUUUCACUCCAAAAGCCUGUUCUAAAGCCUUGUGUCCCUGGAGAAGGCCAUGCAGGGCUUUCCAGGAUUGAAAAACAGAGAAUUCAGAAUUUUUCAGCAUUUUUUCUGCUUGAAAGUAUUUCAGUAGCUCUGUUAAAGAGGAAGGCCCUGCAGGGGAUGUGGAUUACAGCCCAGCCUCUCAGCAGCAGCACUGUGUGACUAUCAGCUCCUGCCCUUUCCAGUCCUGGGGACCAGAUCCAUUUAAGGCAAUAGAAUGACUAAGUCCAUAUAUGAAGACUCAGCUUGGAUCCUGACAUCCCCCCCCAGGCUCUCUUUGCUCUGUGGAUGAACCACCACUGCAGGAAGGUGCUGACAACCACUGGUUCUAACUCGACCACCAUCUCUCCUGCUAAAUGUGAGUCUUUGUAAAGCUGACGAGAGAAGCCUACACAAACUAACUGCUUUCUAAUGGUGGGUUUGUGUGGGUGUAUCCACAGCUACCCAUUAGUUAGCACAUAUAUCAUUUGUGAAACUGUUACAAAGAAGAGCCUCCUACAUUGCUGAUGUGAGUUUCUGCUUAAUUCUCACUGAUUAAGUUAACCUACCCUAAGGUGCAGUGCAGAAGCUGGAGUGAUUUUUGUGAUAACUCAUUCUACAGAGCCUUUCACAGAAGGUAUUUCAGUGAUGAUAGUUAAGGGCUGUCCUUAGCUUCACCACCAACCCCCUUAGCUCUGCCUUAGCUGCGCUGUGAGCUUUGCCUUCAGCCUGCUGCAAACCGUGGUGCUUGCACAUCUCUUGCUGAGACUCAGGGCAGUGCUGUGUUGGCACCAGCAGCAUGGCUGUGCUUGAGAACUUUUUCAUGAAAUUCCAUCCAUUUUUGGGUUCUGCUGUUCUCUUCCUUGGAAUUACCACUUUAAGUUUGGAGCUAUAAAGGGAUCGUUGCAAAGAAAAAAGAAGAUACAACUGCAACCCAGGGGAAGCAUGUGGUUGACAUCCAUCUACAGUCUGUGCAAAAUCUGCUGCUCGUCUUUGAGGCACCGUGGCAGCAGCCUCAUUUCCCUCAGCACCCAGCAGCACCCUCUGAGCGUGUCUGAAAUCAGAUCUAUUUUCUUCUGAAAACCUAAUGGAGUGCUUGAGAAACACAGCCAUGAAUUGUUUGGGGAGAUGGUGCCAGGCAGUCCGAUUUGCUUCUGACAUGAUUCCAAAACACCAGUUGACUGGAAACUAAGCGUAACCCCAGCAGAAGGAUUAAUCCAACUAUUUUCUUAAGAAGAAAAAAAUCAUUACUAUGAAUCUUUCCAAGCUUGCACAGAGUCAGCAGUAAGCCCUUUUCCUGAGCUGCUGGCUGUGGCUGCAGAUCUGGCAGUGAUGCUGUGGAAUCGAUCGUUUCCCUUUGGCAGGGCCAGUGAACAGCAUCUGCAGAGGCAAUGCUGCUGCUGAGCCGUUCCCUUUGCUGCCUGUACUGGGAUAUGCAGCAUCUGCCAUGGCUGCUGGCUGCAGAGGUAUAUGAAGGAAAUGGUUUUCAUGUAAAAUAUAUCACUUCUUUGCUACUGGAUGUGUAUGGAAUGUGUUGGGAGGAUGACGAGACCACGCUGUGCUAGCCCUGGUCCCUGGUGCCCUGUGAUGGGUGGGAUGGCUGUGCAGCAGGGACUGCCUUUCUUCUUUCAAAGGAUAUUUUUCACAGGAAAACAACAGUUAAACAAAAAAUUGCUGGUUUGAUUGUUUCCUGCUGCCAGCUUUUCCUCUAGGAACCUCCCUUUCAACCCCUUGAAAAUAAACUGUACUUCAAAGAGUUGAGAUGGAGAGCUGUAGUUGGACCCAGGGGUGGCCCUGCUGCAACCCUACCCCCUCCUGGAGCCCCACCAUUCGCCCUGCCCCUCUCUCACACCAGCAGAAAGAAAUCCUUUUACCUUCUCCAGGGUUUAUUAGUUGUUUUGUGCCUUAGCUCUUCCACGAGCAAGAAGAGUCUGCAAACGGAAACAAAAAGCAUCUGAAAGAAACAGUAAGUAAUUUCUAACGAGCCAUUCCAGGAUAUUUUAAAUGAUGAAACACCCCUCUGCUCUGUCUGCAGUUAACCAGGGUCCUUUGGAGCCAGGAGGCUACUGAAUAUUUUAAGAGCAAUGUUAUUUUUCAGCAGUUCACAGCUAAUGAAUUCCCGAUUCAUAUCUCACAGUAGGUGAAAAAGACAAGAACAAUCAAUUUCCAUCUCAGCUGCAAUAUGUUUCCCACUGCUUGUGGAACAGGUCAUGCUCAGAGCUUGAACCAGGAGGAUGGAGGUGAUGGGGCCAUGUCAAAGAUGCUCUCUGUGCUCUGGCAAGAUCAGAUGUAUGUUGGCUGCUUUAUAUUUCUAUUUUGUAGGCUUUUAGAGUAAAAUGAGCUAUACGGUAUGCAGGUCUGUGGACCACGGGGUCAACCUGCUGCUAGCAGUGAUGGUGUGCAUCUUUGCUCAGUGCUUUUGCAUGUCAUGCUGUAACAGAAUGGCUGAGUCAUGGUCUGAAGCAGUGAUUGAGCACCUGGUGGGAAGGCAGGGCCAACCCAGAGGAGCUCAGGUGCAUGCAAUGUACCCAGGUGACUGGGAGGGCUAGGAACCAGGAUGCACCUCUUCCCAGAUCUCAUUUAAGGGCUGGUGGUGGAGGUGAGGGUAUCUCACUGGAGAUCCUUGCAUACCUGAGGCCUUCUGAAGGUAAGCAGCUUUUCUCCUUUAUUUCUGUGACUGUAUCUGCUGUAUUUGUGCUUGUUUACAUUUGCUGCAGCCAGGACUUUGCGACCCCUCUAUUAUCAUGGUACUUUCCAUCCCAUUAUAGCAUUACACACCACAGCUGGGAGGAGAGAUGAGAAGUGCAGAUAUGUUGCUGUUUCUUUCACAGUCUAAAACACAGUUACAGUUUGGUCUCUUCAGAUUCAGGCUCUGCAAUCUGUCUGCACUCUACAUGUGUUAAAAGUGCACUUUUUGAGGCUGCCAAGGACUCCAUUUUCAUAUUAUUUUGCUGGGUACUCCUCAGUUUCUUUCCAGUUCUGCUUUUGCUAAGUGCUUGCAAAACAAAUUACAGCCAAUAUUCCCUCAUCAGGGCAGUGCUUCUAAAUCCACUGUGUCUCUUGGUUUCUAUGUGUUAGUGCACCCACCCACACUGCACUGAUCAUGAGGAAAGGAGCUUCGCUGGGUGAUCGGCUCCCCUGUGCUCCCCCAGCACAGAGCACCAUGGUGGUUGGUUUGGCUCCAUCUCCUGAUGGCUUUGUGGAUGUACGGCUGGUUUAAAGAACUGCAAGACUGACAGUAAGUGGUGUUUGGAGAAAUAGUUGGAUCACUUGUAUGGAAGGGAAGGAAUCCACAGAGAGCUGUGAUGCACAGACAGCAGCACUGGCUGCUCCUGUCCGUGCUACUCCCAAGGUAUUUCUGGGACAAGGACAUAUGUCAUAGCUGUUUUCCUACGUUCUUUGCUCAAACCUUCAACUCUCAGGAUUGUGCAGUUUGCUUUAAAAUUCCCUUGGUUUGGGCCACUCCUGGAGCAGGUUUGGGGAAAAAGUUCUGAAAUGUUGAGGUAUGGGAAAAGCCUGAAAGCUCCGCAGCUCCCAGCCCGAGCUGUCAGUAAAAACCAUCCUGAACUCCAAGCUCCUUAUCUCCUAGCAGCGUAAAUAUUUUCUACGUGAGCAGGAAGGAGGAUGGAUGAAUGCAUUUUUGCAGGAAAAUGUUACAGCUCUGGGAACAGGGACUUCAGAGCCAUCCUUAUCCAUGCUGCUGGCAGUGGGGCUGUGUGCUGGAGGACAGCACUCACCCUGCUGUGCCAAAGGGAAGGAUUGCAGCCAGCUGCUCUCAGGGCAUCCACUGCUCCAUGCUGCCUUUCAUCCCUGUGCCAGCUGGUUCCUGGCUUGGGCACCAGCAGCUCAGAGCAUUGCGAAGGCCUGCAGGGUCAUUGCUCUUAGUGGGGAGCCUGUGCUGGGAAUAUGAAUACUGGCAAUUAGUGGUGGUGAGGAUAUUGGUAAGGAGGGGGAGGCUCAGUGCAGCAGCACACCACAACCAGCACAGGGGAUAUUCAGCCCCAUGCAAUCCACCUGAUGAAGUUUCUUCCUUCUAUUUUGUCUCUUAAACAAACAUCAUUUUAUCCCUAUUUUGUCUAUAUUUGGUGUAAUCAGAUCACUCCCUUCACAGACUCAUUUCCUGCCUCUGGGACACUGAAGCUAUUCUUAUUUGUUUUUCCACGGGCCUCUCUGCUUCUAAUUACUUUGUGCUGACGUUGUGGGAAUAUGCUGAGGCUGUGCCACCUCUGAUACUGCCACAUGGCUCUGUGAUACACAGUAGUGCCCCAGCCCCUCUCCAGGUAUUUCCUGCCAGCAGUUUGCUCUUAAUUCCUGCACUUGGGUGUAGGAUAAAGCUGAAUUCUGGUAGCUUUAGGCCUAGGGAGCAAGCAGGCAGAAAGCAUGUGAUUUGGUUUUAUUUUUUAAUGGCAUUCAGUGAGGUUCUGCUGUACUACAGAUAAUAAGAGACUGGUGGUGCAGAAAAAGCUCUCUGUAUGCUCACACAAAUAGUUGAUGCGGAUCUGCUGCUGCUGCUGCUCUGGCAACAGCUGCUGAGCUCGUCAUCUAAGAAAAAGCACUUCAUUAUUUUUUAUUUGCCAGAUAUUUAAAUUGCCCAUGGGUGGGAGGUCUCUCCUAAACCAAUUCUAUUUGGAAAAGCCUAUAGCAGAAAUAGUUACUGAGAAAUGGGAGGGGAAAACCUUUACUGAGAAAGGA